rnacentral:rRNA from 1 species
UACAGAGGUCCCGAGCGUUGUUCGGAUUCACUGGGCGUAAAGGGUGCGUAGGUGGCAUGGUAAGUUUGAUGUGAAAGCUCAGGGCUUAACCCUGAAAUGGCAUUGAAUACUACUGUGCUGGAGGUUUGGAGGGGGGACUGGAAUUCCAGGUGUAGCGGUGAAAUGCGUAGAUAUCUGGAGGAACACCGGUGGCGAAGGCGGCAUCCUGGACCGGUAUUGACGCUGAGGCGCGAAAGCUAGGGGAGCAAACGGG